rnacentral:rRNA from 1 species
UGCGUAGGCGGUUCUGUAAGUCUAGUGUGAAAUCUUCAGGCUCAACUUGAAGACUGCACAAAGAAACUGCAGGGCUUGAGUGUGGGAGAGGUGAGUGGAAUUCCUGGUGUAGCGGUGAAAUGCGUAGAUAUCAGGAGGAACACCUGUGGCGAAAGCGGCUCACUGGACCACAACUGACGCUGAUGCACGAAAGCUAGGGGAGCAAACAGGAUUAGAUACCCUGGUAGUCCUAGCCCUAAACGAUGACUGCUUGGUGUGACGGGUACCCAAUCCCGUCGUGCCGUAGCUAACGCGUUAAGCAGUCCGCCUGGGGAGUACGGUCGCAAGGCUGAA